rnacentral:rRNA from 1 species
UAACGAAUAUUGGGCAAUGGGCGAAAGCCUGACCCAGCAAUGCCGCGUGCAGGACGACGUCCUUCGGGAUGUAAACUGCUGUCAGGGGUCUGCAAGCGAAGGGGUCCAACAGGCCCUGGAGUUGAGCAGCCACAGAGGAAGCCUCGACUAACUCUGUGCCAGCAGUCGCGGUAAGACAGAGGAGGCAAGCGUUGUUCGGAAUCACUGGGCUUAAAGCGCGUGUAGGCGGCUUAGAAAGUGUCGUGUGAAAUCCCGCGGCUCAACCGCGGAACUGAACGGCAAACUACUUGGCUUGAGGUCGGUAGAGGGGCCUGGAACUCUAGGUGGAGCGGUGAAAUGCGUAGAUAGCUGGAGGAACGCCAGAAGCGAAAGCGGGGCACUGGGCCGAUUCUGACGCUGAGACGCGAAAGCGUGGGGAGCAAACAAGAUUAGAAACCGGAGUAGUC